UGAAGGAUUUGGAGAGAAAGGAAAGGGAGGGAUUCCCUUUUCCUUGUUUGGAUAUUAAUUUUUGAAGGAGGGGAAGGAAAAGAGAGAGGUACCCUUCUUUCUCUCUUUCUUUCUGUUAAACUAAUUUUCUAAUUUCUCCAAUUUAGAAAAAUCGGGAGAGAAAGGGACAUGAGAUAUUUAAAGAACAAAAAUGCCCAUAGAUCUUCAAAUAAAAGCUAGGGUUUAUUCUAUGGCUUUCUUUCAUUGUUUUCUAUUAAACUUUUUUCUUCCUCUUUUCUACAUGAAUCAAAUAUGAUGUCCGUCACUC
rnacentral:lncRNA from 1 species